rnacentral:rRNA from 1 species
CAGCAGCCACGGUAAUACGGAGGGUGCAAGCGUUACUCGGAAUCACUGGGCGUAAAGGACGCGUAGGCGGAUUAUCAAGUCUCUUGUGAAAUCUAACGGCUUAACCGUUAAACCGCUUGGGAAACUGAUAAUCUAGAGUAAGGGAGAGGCAGAUGGAAUUCUUGGUGUAGGGGUAAAAUCCGUAGAUAUCAAGAAGAAUACCUAUUGCGAAGGCGAUCUGCUGGAACUUAACUGACGCUAAUGCGUGAAAGCGUGGGGAGCAAACAGGAUUAGAUACCCGGGUAGUCCCUGUCUCUUAUAC